rnacentral:lncRNA from 1 species
GAAGUUUCAAAUUGUUUUUUUUUUUUUGGAGAGAUAGGGAACAUGUUAUCCGAUUCGUUUAUUUCAUUUAGAAAUAAACUUAGCUGGAAAUGUGAAUCAAUUAGAAUUUAAACUUGGGACCUCAGGUAUCAACCAUUAAGUCAUUUGUCACUUGCGGUAGGGACGGUCGGUUGCCCACUUGCCCUCAUGGUUGUAAUCUAAUAUUUAAUAUUUUUGUUAUAAAUCAGAUAAAAAUUUUUGAUUAGUUUAUGCACGCAAUUUAUAAUGGUACGUAAUUUUACGAAUAUACUAAUAAGAAAAUAAGGUGUUUUUUUGGCGAUACCUUGAUUAAGUAGUUUUCAAUAUCA